rnacentral:piRNA from 1 species
UGGUUUUUCUUGACUCAGCUUGCGAG